AAGCUCUGAGCUCCACACAGUUUAUACCCUGAUUGGUCAGAAACUGUGUGGAGCUGAGAGUUUUCU
ensembl:miRNA